GCAAACUUGGUCAUUUAGAGGAAGUAAAAGUCGUAACAAGGUUUCCGUAGGUGAACCUGCGGAAGGAUCAUUAACAAGUCCGUGCUGCCGCCGGGGAUGCCCGUGGCGGUGACACCUGCUCCGUGUGCACAUGCUGCACAUUGUGACAUUUCUGCGAGUCGUCUGAUUGUGUGCAACAACAUAUUAGUGUCAACUUUCAACAAUGGAUCUCUAGGCUCCUGCAUCUAAGAGACAGGCAAACUGUGUCAUUUAGAGGAAGUAAAAGUCGUAACAAGGUUUCCGUAGGUGAACCUGCGGAAGGAUCAUUAACAAGUCCGUGCUGCCGCCGGGGAUGCCCGUGGCGGUGACACCUGCUCCGUGUGCACAUGCUGCACAUUGUGACAUUUCUGCGAGUCGUCUGAUUGUGUGCAACAACAUAUUAGUGUCAACUUUCAACAAUGGAUCUCUAGGCUCCUGCAUCGAUGAAGAACGCAGC
rnacentral:misc_RNA from 1 species